ACAGAGUUUAUUGUCGGUAAUGGCAACAAUACCCGUUUCUGGGAGGAUACUUGGCUUGGUGAUACGCCAUUGGCGUUCCAGUACCUGUCCCUGUGUCGUAUUGUUCAACGACGUGAUGCGCUAGUUGCAAUGAUCAUGCAGUCCAUUCCAAUUAAUAUCCAGUUUCGGAGGGUGCUUGUUGGUGAUAGGUGGGAAGCAUGGCUUCAUUUGGUGACUAGACUGAUGGAGGUUCAGUUAGCUCAUCAGCCCGAUCAGUUGUGUUGGAAACUUACUAGGUCUGGAGCAUUUACAGUUAAGUCGAUGUAUAUCGAUGUAAUUAACUCUAGUGUCAUUCCUAGUUUAAAACAUGUUUGGAAAGUAAAAGUUCCUUUGAAGAUUAAAGUGUUUAUGUGGUUUGUACAUAAACAAGUCAUUUUAACAAAGGACAACUUGGUUAAGGGCAAUUGGACAGGAUCUACUAGGUGUAGUUUCUGUGAUUGGGGCGAGACCAUUAAGCACCUCUUUUGUGAGUGCCCGUUGGCGAGAGUUUUGUGGCGCACUGUGCAAAUUGCCUUUAACAUUACUCCUCCGAAU
rnacentral:rRNA from 1 species